rnacentral:rRNA from 1 species
GUGCACGCUGGUGGUAGGCCUAACACAUGCAAGUCGAACGGCAGCACAGUAAGAGCUUGCUCUUACGGGUGGCGAGUGGCGGACGGGUGAGGAAUACAUCGGAAUCUACUUUUUCGUGGGGGAUAACGUAGGGAAACUUACGCUAAUACCGCAUACGACCUACGGGUGAAAGCAGGGGAUCUUCGGACCUUGCGCGAUUGAAUGAGCCGAUGUCGGAUUAGCUAGUUGGCGGGGUAAAGGCCCACCAAGGCGACGAUCCGUAGCUGGUCUGAGAGGAUGAUCAGCCACACUGGAACUGAGACACGGUCCAGACUCCUACGGGAGGCAGCAGUGGGGAAUAUUGGACAAUGGACGCAAGCCUGAUCCAGCCAUACCGCGUGGGUGAAGAAGGCCUUCGGGUCGUAAAGCCCUUUUGUUGGGAAAGAAAAGCAGCAGGUUAAUACCCCGCUGUUCUGACGGUACCCAAAGAAUAAGCACCGGCUAACUUCGUG